rnacentral:antisense_RNA from 1 species
CCUGGCGUUAGGCUUGCGCGCAACGAUGCCGUUGCCGACCGCAUGCAGCAGGUGGGUUUUGCCAAGACCGGUGCCGCCAUA